rnacentral:lncRNA from 1 species
UAUGGGGAGUUUUUGCUGCAGGGGCUUUUGGGGCUGCUGCAGGUGCAGGUGAAAUAGCCAAGGUGGUAGAGGAAAAGAGUAGAAAGAGCGAGAGGGAGAAAAGGGUUGCUUGUUUCAUCUUCCAGAUGCCAACUCAAGCCUAGAUGGCCUUGAUGAUUUUGAAAGAAUGUUAAAAUGAUUGUAGCAAUUUAUUUUUGAUGUGUGGGAGCUGUGAAGGAGAGGGGUUAUAUAGAGAUUGGAGGGCAAGGAAAUGAUAGGUUGGUGAAAUGUUAUGGCUGUGAAAUUUGUUAGCUGGGGAGUCUGAGGGUGUAUCACGUCUGUCAUGGAGAAUAAGGAUCCUUUAUCUAAAUAUUAUUGGCAUAAAUUAGUGUAAGUAUUGAGUUCGGAUAUGGUGAACUGAGAAUGGACACAUUAAAUACCUGCUUUUAACACUUCUGUAGUAUGUAGUUGAAGAAGGGGAGUGACAAUGCAGAGAGGCUACAGAGGACCCCCUUAAAAAUAUCAGGGAGCAGCUACAAAUGUUGAGUUUAUGUAUAUCUAUAAGAUGUAAUUUAAUAACUUGGAUCAGAAAACAGAGCUGGAGCCAUCCACUUGAUACAAACCAAUUAAUGAAGUUCAAGAACUUUGUGAGUUGAGUGAGUAACUGGAUUGAAAUUCUCCUCCUGGUGUUUUGCACUUCCACUUCCAAUGGUUUUAUUUGGGAGAAGGUUGGUUUUUCUUUAUGCUGUAUUAGCUCCUAAACAUCUCACUCCAUUAACAAAAAUUUCUAUGUAUAGUUUAGCCCUGAAACAGAACAUUGGAAUCCAAAACCAUGUUCUGGAUACCUUUUAGUGCAAAUAAUUCAAGUUUUUAGCUUUAAUUUUUGCUCUCAUAUUCAAACUCUUAAAAAUUUGGACUUUGAACAUAAUAUCAUGAAUUACAUUUUCACUUCUAAAAUCUUGAUAUUUCAUCCUGUUCGUGAAUAUUAUAUAAACAAUAAAGACUUCGCAACUUUUUUUAUCACAAAUGGAGAAGAGACAUUUUACACCUCAUAUACGAAGUCUUUAGCAACAAGUAUAUGGUUUUCUUAAAGCCUCCAUGAGACAUAAACAAAAACUAAUUUGGAAAAUAAAAAUUUCCCUUCUUUCAUCUUCAAUUUCUAAGUCCAUCCUAUAGAUGACUUUUAUUAAUUCUACAAAUACCCAUUUUGUGUAUUUAUACAAAGAGGGACAAUUAGUUGUGAUUUUUACAAUAAUAAUAUUGGUGAAAAAGUAGGGUUAUGCAGAGGCCAAAUAAAUGAUGUGCUGGUGAAAUGUUGUGGUUAACAGGUUGCAAAAUUUGUAGCUGUGGAGGGUAUAUCCCAUCUGUCAUAGAGAUGAGGAUUUGUUAUCUAAUUAUUAUUUGCAUCUUUGCUGAUAAUGAUGAGCUGAUAAUGGACAUAUGAUAAUGCUGACAUAUUCAUGGACACUUGCUUUUUAACAUCUUUUGUAAGAAAAAUAAUGUAGUUGAAGAGGAGUGACCCACCUCACACAUACUAAGGAGUUGUUGCAAAUUGUUUUGUAUUUCUAUAAGAUGAUGCAGAGUUUUUAAACUGUGAUUGUGCUCAUGAUUGUUGAUACUGUCAAAAAUCACAUACAAGUACACUUAAUUUAAUUGCAUUUUAUAUUGAGGAAACUUCGAAAACUUUAACGUUCUGGUCAAAAUCGCAGUUGGAUUGGGAACCAUUUACUGAUAAAACUUUAAUAAAACAAAUCUUUAAUAAACAUUUAAUUCAAAAUAUUCAAAUUUACAAAAACUUAUAGCUUAAUUGAAUUAUUAUUUUCAUGACAUGUACUUAAUUAAGAUCCAAAGUAAAAGCUAAACUACGUCACUCUGCUUCGAGAGUAAAAUCAAACUGUAGAAUUUUAAUUGAAAAAUAUAAAAAUUUGAAAUAUUCAGUAAAAUAUAUUUUUUAACAAAAAUUAACUUAAACCUUAAUUAUGUCAUGCUAUAAAAAGCUCAGGUUGUACAGAUGAAGUUAUUGUUUCUGCUUCUGGAUAAAAGUCCACUUUUCUUAAUAAUAAUAGAUGUUAUUGUAAACAACAAACACAAAAUAGUUCGUAUAUAUUUCUCUCCAUCCUUUUCAACUCGAUAACAUUCAUUAUGAAUUAACUAUAUUUGGAAACUUUGGACAGUUUUUAUAUAAAUAGUGCCUUGGAGGAAAAUGUUUGAAAGAAAAAGAGGAUAGGAGUUAUGAAACAUGAAUUCAUUCCUGGUCAUGCAUAUAAAGCAUGAUGAUAGCAACAACAUGGUUUCAGAUAAGAAUCGUUAAUCAUUCAAGCAUUCUUUCCCUUUCCAUAACAUCCAUACACAAGAAACCACAAAGAGAGAAAAAUUUAAACAAAAAAAGAAGCGCAAACAAAGAAAUUAACCACAAAGAAAACUGAAAGUUCAGCUGCUAAAUGAUCAACUCCACAUGGUUGCCAUAGCGACCAAGGCUAUCCCAAGUGACAUCAACUUUGUUCCACUAACGCUGCUCAAACUGAGUGCCCCAGAUUUAUUGUGAUCCUGGUUUGCUUCUUCUUGAUCGUCAUCAGAAGAGUUUUCCUUAGCAGCUUUGGGAGCCUUUGCAAGAGAUGAAGGAGCCAAAGCUGGAGCCUUAUUGGUUACAAAGAAAUCUAGAGGAAGAAGUACCUUGUCCACGUGAUAAAUUCCAAGUUUGUUAUCCGCGUAUACUACUCCAAGAAUGGUGGCAUUGACUACCCCGGUUGAAAUGUUGACACUGUUACCUAAUGCAUUCACAUUCAGUGGAAGCCUUGCAGGGUCUUUACCAGCCACUGUCUGCACAGGGUUGCUCAGAGAAUCAAAGUUUGAGCUGGACACAAACUCUGGCAAUAUGUGGAACUGCACAAGUUCAAUUUUCUGGCCUGCGUUUAGGGAGUUGAGGAAGCCAGCUUUGAGGUUGGAAAAGGCAGAAUCAUCUGGUGCAAGGAUGGUUAUGCCCCCACUCUUGGCUGUUAUGAGCUGUGAGUUGAUGUUGUUCAUGAUUUCUGUGGUUUUGAGGAGGCGGACCAGGGUUGAGAACAUUUUGGCCUUUUUUAGGAUUCUGGUGAUGUCAUCAGGGACAGAGUCAGGGGAGUCUGGAGACUGAGGUAAUGUGGGGACUAAUGGUUUUGGUGAUGGUGCUGCAGCCUUUGGGGUAUGGGGAGUUUUUGCUGCAGGGGCUUUUGGGGCUGCUGCAGGUGCAGGUGAAAUGGCCAAGGUGGUAGAGGAAAAUAGUAGCAAGAGUGAGAGGGAGAAAAGGGUUGCUUGUUUCAUCUUCCAGUUGCCAAUUGAAGCCUGUAGAUAUGGCUUUGAUGAUUGUGGAAGUAUGUGAAUGAUUUGAAUUAAUGAUUCUUGCAAUUUGUGUCUG